AAGCAAAGCUGGGGGCUGCGGCUGCGUCCUGCCCUGCCCUGGGCUGUGGCCCGCCCGAAGCCCCACCACGGUGCUGGCGCAGGCCAAAACUCGUUUUUCAGAACAGACUCUUAAUGGACAUAGCAUACAUGAACACCAUCUGGGUUAAGGUGACACCCCAGACAGUUUGGCAUCAGCACUGCCUAGCCUGCUUGAUGGCCCAUUAAGGACCAUCAGCUGUACAACUGACCCACUGAGAGAAAGCAGAUACACCUUAUGAUCCAGCAAGGCAUGCAGGGGCAUGCCUACGAAGAGGACUCUAAGGCUUUCAAGCCAUGUGCUGGAAGCUUGUAUCUGGAACAAAGGAAGCACAGGCCACAUAGCAAGAGACUAUAAAAGGCAGCUGCAUCUCCUCCAUCUUGUCUUCAGUCCUGCUUCUUACCUCUGGAGUCACUUUGCUACAAACUGAAGCUCUGAACAAAGGACUGAAUGACCCAUCCAAGCUGUGGAUGUAGUCCAGAGACUUGAUUUGAGCCUGCAGUUUAUUCCAUCACUGCUACAAGUCUGAACCAAGAACUUUGCCAUUGCUGUAUGUAAUUGAUUACUUCGACCA